rnacentral:rRNA from 1 species
UACGGGGGGAGCAAGCGUUGUUCGGAUUUACUGGGCGUAAAGGGCGCGUAGGCGGUCAGCACAAGUCAGUUGUGAAAUCUCCGGGCUUAACUCGGAAAGGUCAACUGAUACUGCAGUGCUAGAGUGUGGAAGGGGCAAUCGGAAUUCUUGGUGUAGCGGUGAAAUGCGUAGAUAUCAAGAGGAACACCUGAGGUGAAGACGGGUUGCUGGGCCAACACUGACGCUGAUGCGCGAAAGCCAGGGGAGCAAACGGG